AUGUUUCGUGACCUUCUGAAUUCCAGGGUAGGACCCAGAAAUUUUAGACUGCAAUCCUCACAGCCAGAAGCUCCUCUCUGGACAGGUAGCUCUUCUGGAAUGUGUCUUCUGAUAUGAAGUCAAUCCUGAGUGUGAACAGACUCCUUCUCUUAUCCUUGAAGAGAAAGAUAUUAAAGGUAUGAAAAAACCCUUUGUUUCCUUUGAAAAUCAUUAAU
rnacentral:lncRNA from 1 species